GGGAAUUAGCUCAGUUGGCUAGAGCAUCUGCCUUGCACGCAGGGGGUCGCGGGUUCAAGUCCCACAUUCUCC
rnacentral:tRNA from 2 species